rnacentral:rRNA from 1 species
CUACGGUAGAGAGAAGUUGCUUCUCUUGAGAGCGGCGGACGGGUGAGUAAUGCCUACGAAUCCGCCUGGUAGUGGGGGAUAACGUCCGGAAACGGAUNCUAAUACCGCAUACGUCCUACGGGGGAAAGCAGGGGACCUUCGGGCCUUGCGCUAUCAGAUGAGCCUAGGUCGGAUUACUAGUUGGUGGGGUAAUGGCUCACCAAGGCCGACGAUCCGUAACUGGUCUGAGAGGAUGAUCACUCACACUGGAACUGAGACACGGUCAGACUCCUACGGGAGGCAGCAGUGGGGAAUAUUGGACAAUGGGCGAAACCCUGAUCCACCCAUGCCGCGUGUGUGAACAACGUCUNCAGAU